ensembl:lncRNA
GCUGCUCCGACCUCAGCACCCGCAGCAGCUUUUCUCUCUCACAGAUAUGGACAGGCACCCCAUUGAGACAUUGUCCCAGAACCCCUAGCUAACAGACUUCCAGGCACAGGAUCUCUCACCUGGAGAAACAAGAUGCCAUUAAAACUGCUACUGAUGGUCACAUGUCCUGCUCUCCAUCUUGCCUUCUGCACGGGAAUCAGAGAGCCUGGCUGACGGCUGGCACUGUGAAACCUACUCAUUCUCAGAACCGGAUAAGAAGAGACUCCCACUUCUGCCAGCUCUGCUGCCACUCCCACAUGCCUUCUUCAGAACUUCAAUGUCAUACAGAAGAAAGACUUCUUUGGUAAAAGUCAAUCAUUGAUCAAGUCCAAGAUCCACAGUCUGGACCUCCAAGUACUGCUCAUUACUUUCCUGAUGAAGAGUUUGGUGGAGCUCUAGUCAAUCCUUCUACAUCUGUCAUUCACACAGAACCAGAAGUGUGACCUCCUGGGUGGUUCCCUCCUACCUGCCUUCCCAUACUCCACCCACCAUUGCAUGGCUGCCUUUCCUACCAUUUAGUUCCACAUACCUCAAGCCUGUUCUCUGCUCUAUGGAUGCUGACCUUACAUCUCAGAGAAGCUCAACAGAGUCACACUGCCCAGGCAGAAAGCUCACGCAGGUGGCAGUUAGCUGGUAGGAUUUACCACCUGAUACAAAUCAUUAUUUUUUUCUAAAGAAGAGAUGAUUUCAAAAUCUGGCAGUUGAAUUGAGAGGUUGGGAGGUAGAGAAAGAAUUUUAGCCCCUUGAAACUAGACAUCGCUUUGAAAUUGUCUGCUCCAAUCCUGCAUUUUUUCUAGGGUGGAAACCGAGUCUCAGUCCUGAUGGUUUUUAUGAAGUCACUGGCAAAGCAGAACAGGAGGCACCAAGGGGGCCUGGACUAGCCUCUUGGAGUCUUUGAGCGAAGUUGCAAGGAUUAUGGGGCACCUACAUUGUCUCUUUCAAGGGCCAGCCACCAGGGAACACACCGUUGUCAAGUUUUUAGAUACUAACUAAGGAUGCUCUCUUGACUGCUCACCAUGCUGGCUUUGUAAAGGCAGACUUCAUUUUCCUGGCUUCCUGGACUGAGGGUUCAUGGACAUGUUCAAGGACAAACUAACAGUAAGCAGCCACGGCGGGCCUUGGGACCCAGGCCAGAUGUCCUUUGUAGUAUUCCCUCAUGCUACCUCCCUCACGCAAAGAUGAACGUACAGUGUUCUUUAGUAUGAACAGGCAGUGACGGGCACAGGGAAACAGGACAAAUGCAUGUUGGUUCUAGCCACCAACUCUCUGGGAUCAUUUCUCACAGCUGAGAUGUGCUGAGCAGUGGCUGUUUCUUCAGACUUUGAGAUUCAAUGUCUUAUGUCAGUGCAAACAGUUUAGCAUGUCCUCUAUGUUCUGGAAAAAAAUCUUAUGAGCAGUACCAAUGCUUAAAAAAACCAAACUAAACCUGGUGCCUUAGCUGUAAGGAAAAAGUAGAAGGAAAGUAGUUUGAAACAAAUGCCAUUGUGAUUUUGGUUUUGUUUGUUUGUUUUCAGACGACAUUAAAGGUAGGUUUAUUGGGAAGCUGCUCUCAAGCAGGCUGGGUGAGUUCACUGGCCCCAAGGAAGGAAGCCAGCAAAAUUGCCAGGGUGCAGAGUGAGAGAAGAGAGGGGGAAGGAAGAAGAGGUGGAGGAGAAGGAGAAGGAGGAGCAGGAGGAAGAGGAAGAGGAGGAAGAAGGAGAAGAGGAGGAGGAGAAGAAGGAGAAGAAGAAGAAGAAGAAGAAGAAGAAGAAGAAGAAGAAGAAGAAGAAGAAGAAGAAGAAGAAGAAGAAGAAGAAGAAGAAAGAAGAAGAGAGCCAGGGAGUGAGCAGUUCAGUGCUACUGCUGUGAUGGCCAUCAUGACACAGACGCAAAGCACAUGAAUGGACAGACAUUUUCCAAACUGUAAACCAAACGGGCCUUCUUGUUUUAUAAACUGAUCUACCUCAGGUAUUUGCUAUAGCAACAGAGAACUAUCAUAUCACUCAUCCUUUGGCCUCUUUACUCCAGUUUUCUCUGUCGAGGAAGAAACAGAAAUAUUCUCACUGGUCAUACAG